CAUGUACAGGGGUACAAACCUGCAAGCUCACCACCAGCAUUGAUGUGAUCUUGUGUGAGCUCCUGCCACAGAGGCUGCUACACCAGAGCUGAGGAAAGCUUCUAAAGAGCUUGCAUGUUUUCUUGACUCCAUAUUGUUGACUGACUGACAAGACAAAAUGCUAAAUUUUACCAUGUUGCAUCUGAUAAACUCACAGAGAAAGUGAAGGAUAGGAAUUUAAAUAAGGCUCACAAAGAGGCAGCCUUAGCUUUCUGGAACCCAAACACCUGCAAUUCUUUUAUGUCUUCCCCAUCCAGCAGCAUUCUCAGAAUGACAUGUUUUUAUUGAAAGGUCCGUUUGCAGUAGCUCAUAACUGCAUCAAGAACACCAAGAGCUGAAACACCAUCCAUGACUGGGAGGGAAAUCUGCUUUGGAGGGACAAAUUUAUAAGUGGUGAUGGGGAUAAUUGUCUACUACCCCAUCCUGCCAGGAGAAUUUUAUCUCGGGAAAAAAGAUUCGGGAAGGUUUCCGACAACACCAUGAACUGCCCAUUUCUGCAGCUUCAUGCAAAGCUCCAGCAAACGCUUUUCACUAAACACAAUCUCUCAAGAUUGUUCAGUUCUCAUAAUUGUAUUGUUUUCUAAAGCCUAGAUCCUGUGCACACUAUUCAGCACAAUAUUUACUACUGUGAAUAAA